UUUGCAAGCAUUUUUGUGAGUGGGCUGCUCUGCAUCGUGGUGUGGAUCUCGUGGGAUGGACUGUGUUUUAUGAUGUUGUUUGUGGCUGUUUUGUUCCAGUGAACAGGCUGUGAGAAAGCUACUGAAGGAUCGUGAGCUUGGCUGCUGAAGAUCAGUUUGAGCGAGAAGCAGUGGAAACCGGUCAAAGCCGAGUUUGACCAGGUGUCUGCUGUACACUCAAACACCAAAGCCGAGCUGGACAGUCUAGAGCGCCAAACCUUUCUGGAGGAGCCGAAGAACACGACAAUUGAAAACUUAAAAGCAAAACUAAGUGACAUGCACACUGAACACAGAAACCUCUCUGCUGAUUUUGAGGAGAACAAGAAACACUAUCAGGAAUGUUUGAAUUCUGUGAAGGGGUUUGUCAAACACUAUGGCGUUCAAACAUGGGACAGCCACAGUAGUGAUGGGUAAUGUGCACAGGGAUAUAGCUUCCUGUGAACAGAGGAAGUCUCAUCACGCACAGAUUCACUCAGCACUGUUCACUCAACGCCAGGCUGUCAUGAAGGACACAGAGGGUAAUCUACAGGAAGCCCUAAAAGCCAAUCUGAGGUUAUCUCAAGAGUACAGAGAGCUGCAGAAAGCUCUGAUGAUUGCCAGUCAAGAAGCCGUUUGUGUUUUUACAUAAGAAACAGAGCAGAGGCCUUCAUCCAAGAUCACAAGCAGGUACUCUCAUAACCACAAACACAUUUCUUUCUCUGCAACUCCUCCCGUAUGUGUGUAUACAUCAAGGCUAUUUUCUGCAUGUGUGAAUGAUGUGGUUGUCUAUCUUUGUCAUCAGAGAUAGACAGCAGGCAUGCAAAAUAGUGAUGAGCGAGAGCUUUGCACGGACUAGCAUACGCUCGUGUGCUCCAUGCAGCCUGUCAUAGGUGGUUGGUUUUAGUUGGGCAGUCAGCUAGGAGGCCACU
ensembl:lncRNA